rnacentral:rRNA from 1 species
GACGAACGCUGGCGGCGUGCUUAACACAUGCAAGUCGAACGGAAAGGCCCCUUUGGGGGUCCUCGAGUGGCGCACGGGUGAGUAACACGUGAGUAACCUGCCCUUGACUUCGGGAUAACUUCAGGAAACUGGGGCUAAUACCGGAUAGGAAUCCUUGCUGCAUGGUGGGGGUUGGAAAGCUUCGGCGGUUUUGGAUGGACUCGCGGCUUAUCAGCUUGUUGGUGGGGUAGUGGCUUACCAAGGCUGUGACGGGUAGCCGGCCUGAGAGGGCGACCGGCCACAGUGGGACUGAGAGACGGCCCAGACUCCUACGGGAGGCAGCAGUGGGGAAUAUUGCACAAUGGGCGGAAGCCUGAUGCAGCAACGCCGCGGGCGUGAUGACGGCCUUCGGGUUGGAAACCGCUUUCAGCAGGGGAGAAGCUUGUGGUGACGGUACCUGCAGAAGAAGCACCGGCUAACUACGUG